GGACUAGACCUUCCACUCGGAUCGUCCGGCACGUUCCUGCCGGUAGAAGGGAUGCAUCA
rfam:Streptomyces sp. RSD-27 Contig1691, whole genome shotgun sequence.